UACGUAGGGGGCAAGCGUUGUCCGGAAUCAUUGGGCGUAAAGAGCGUGUAGGCGGCCCCUUAAGUCCUGCGUGAAAUCCUGCGGCUCAACCGCAGACGGUCGUGGGAAACUGGAGGGCUAGAGUGCGGGAGAGGAGAGUGGAAUUCCCGGUGUAGCGGUGAAAUGCGCAGAUAUCGGGAAGAACACCCGUGGCGAAGGCGGCUCUCUGGAACGCAACUGACGCUGAGACGCGAAAGCGUGGGGAGCAAACAGG
rnacentral:rRNA from 1 species